rnacentral:rRNA from 1 species
UACGGAGGGUGCAAGCGUUAAUCGGAAUUACUGGGCGUAAAGCGUGCGUAGGCGGCUCGUUAAGUCAGAUGUGAAAGCCCUGGGCUCAACCUGGGAACUGCAUUUGAAACUGGCGAGCUAGAGUUGAGUAGAGGUAAGUGGAAUUUCAGGUGUAGCGGUGAAAUGCGUAGAUAUCUGAAGGAACACCAGUGGCGAAGGCGACUUACUGGACUCAAACUGACGCUGAGGUACGAAAGCGUGGGUAGCAAACAGGAUUAGAUACCCUGGUAGUCCACGCUGUAAACGAUGUCAACUAGCCGUUGGGUCUCCUUGGAGACAUAGUGGCGCAGCUAACGCAUUAAGUUGACCGCCUGGGGAGUACGGCCGCAAGGUUAAA